AUUGAACGCUGGCGGCAGGCUUAACACAUGCAAGUCGAGCGGAGAUGAGGUGCUUGCACCUUAUCUUAGCGGCGGACGGGUGAGUAAUGCUUAGGAAUCUGCCUAUUAGUGGGGGACAACAUUCCGAAAGGAAUGCUAAUACCGCAUACGUCCUACGGGAGAAAGCAGGGGAUCUUCGGACCUUGCGCUAAUAGAUGAGCCUAAGUCGGAUUAGCUAGUUGGUGGGGUAAAGGCCUACCAAGGCGACGAUCUGUAGCGGGUCUGAGAGGAGGAUCCGCCUCAAGGGGACGGAGACACGGCCCAGACUCCUACGGGAGGCAGCAGUGGGGAAUAUUGGACAAUGGGGGGAACCCUGGUCUUGCCAGGCCGCGUGUGUGAAGAAGGCCUUAUGGUUGUAAAGCACUUUAAGCGAGGAGGAGGCUACUGAGACUAAUACUCUUGGAUAGUGGACGUUACUCGCAGAAUAAGCACCGGCUAACUCUGUGCCAGCCGCCGCCGUAAAAC
rnacentral:rRNA from 1 species